GUAGGUGGCAAGCGUUGUCCGGAAUUAUUGGGCGUAAAGCGCGCGCAGGCGGUUCUUUAAGUCUGAUGUGAAAGCCCACGGCUCAACCGUGGAGGGUCAUUGGAAACUGGAGAACUUGAGUACAGAAGAGGAAAGCGGAAUUCCACGUGUAGCGGUGAAAUGCGUAGAGAUGUGGAGGAACACCAGUGGCGAAGGCGGCUUUCUGGUCUGUAACUGACGCCGAGGCGCGAAAGCGUGGGGAGCAAACAGGAUUAGAUACCCUGGUAGUCCACGCCGUAAACGAUGAGUGCUAAGUGUUAGGGGGUUUCCGCCCCCCUUAGUGCUGCAGCUAACGCAUUAAGCACUCCGCCUGGGAGUACGGCCGCAAGGCUG
rnacentral:rRNA from 1 species